rnacentral:rRNA from 1 species
CUGACGACCGGCGAACGGGUGAGUAACGCGUACACAACCUACCUUCGAGGGGGGGAUAGCCUUUGGAAACGAAGAUUAAUACCCCAUACCAUGGACUGAUCGCAUGAUCGGAUCAUGAAAGCUCCGGCGCUUGAAGAUGGGUGUGCGUCCCAUUAGCAAGUUGGUGAGGUAACGGCUCACCAAGGCGAUGAUGGGUAGGGGGCGUGAGAGCGUGACCCCCCACACGGGUACUGAGACACGGACCCGACUCCUACGGGAGGCAGCAGUAAGGAAUAUUGGACAAUGGGCGCAAGCCUGAUCCAGCCAUCCCGCGUGCAGGAUGACUGCCCUAUGGGUUGUAAACUGCUUUUCUUAGGGAAGAAACCCUCGGACUUGUCCGGGGCUGCCGGUACCUAAGGAAUAAGCACCGGCUAACUCCGUGCCAGCAGCCGCGGUAAUACGGAGGGUGCAAGCGUUAUCCGGAAUCACUGGGUUUAAAGGGUGCGUAGGCGGCGUCAUAAGUCAGGGGUGAAAGCCCACAGCUCAACUGUGGAAUUGCCCUUGAUACUGUGGUGCUUGAAUCAGGUUGAGGUAGGCGGAAUGUGGCAUGUAGCGGUGAAAUGCUUAGAUAUGCCAUAGAACACCGAUUGCGAAGGCAGCUUACUGGACCUGCAUUG